CCUGAUGGACAAAAAUGAAGAAGAUGUAGCCUACUGUGUGUGUGUGUGUGUUUUUAUAUGUGUGUGUUUUUGUACAUGCUGCGUGGGUGCUCACUGGCUGACCCACAGCAGUUCUUCACUGGCAAGCUUUAUGUCCUUGUGUACCAACUAAAGCUGCCAGCUGAAGAACUGUUGUGGUUGGCUCUUUCCUGCAUCCCACACAGAAGACCAAGAGACGCCUUCGAGAAAUGUGUGUGUGUGUGUGUCCAGAUGCCAUGCAUCGGAUCAGUGAAUUCUCCAUCCAGAUGUUCCAUUUUGCAGCCAAUGGUAGCAGUGUACAGUAUGUUUUGAGGUAAAUACAGCACACGUGAAGAUUAGGCUAAACAGAAUAGCUAGCUAUCCAAGACAUCUGAUAUGAGGCAAUAGGUCUCAGUUAAAAACACAUGAACCCACUGCACUCAAAUGUAAUGUUUUCAUUAAGUCUUCUGCUCAUGUUACAGAGCUAAUGAAGGCUCUAAGUAUGAAAAAUGCUUACAAACUAUGAAAUAUGUUUAAGUAUGAAGUUUGCUUACUACAUAUCAAGUAUGGUCCCAAAGUAUGAAGUAUGCUUACUGGUGACAGAUUUUACUAUAUGUGUGCUGUAUUUUUCUCUAUUUACACUAUAUUGUAUUUAGUUUUAUGUAUGUAUACUCAACAGAGUUUUAUGUAUGCUUUCAUGUACAAUGUGAGCUCUUUUAAACCAUACUAUCAGCAUCAACUGCCCCCACAAAUGGCUGCUUUAUUCUACUCAGGCAUUAACAAAGACGACUGCACAUUGAUGCUACUGUACAUGCUGAGUCAGCCAACAUUCCACACCCCAGCCAGGACCUGCCUGCUGCCCUUAUAUGGAUUGAAGCUGCAUGGUGGGGCAUCAUGGGUGCUUCAUUGUAUAUCAGAACAAAACAUUUCUAGAAUAAUUUCUUAUGCUUCUCAAAAACAACAAAAAGUAGAAGGAUAGGAAGGUAGAUGGACUGGCUACUCAAAACCUACAAGUAUGUAAAGCAUAGGAUGAUUUAAUGAUACAGUAUGAUAGAUUGGGGAAAGGAUAGGAGGAUAGAUGGAGGGAAGAUUAGGAGGAUAGAUGGAGGGAAUGUUAUGAGGAUAGAUGGAUGGAUGAAAGGGAAAGAAGGAGGGAGGGAGAACAAGGCAAGGACAUACGACAAACAGCUGGACAAAACCAGCCUCCUGACAUGCUGGUAAAGGCAAUUUGUGGCAUUGUUCUAGACUUAGCUGUGCUGUUUGUCUCAAACCAUGACUGCUCAGGCCCUCUCCGUUCCCUUUCUCUCUCCCUCUCUGUUCUCUUUCUCUCUCUACUCACUUUCUGUGUGUGUCUCUCUCUAACUCUUUCUAUUUGACUCAUUCUCUCUCUUUCUCCCUCUCUCUGUCACACACCCCCACAUGCGCACACACACACAGCAUACCAUACAUCUGACUUCAAGGGCGGUGUUGGCGUCGGCAAGAACAGGAUAUGAGAGCGUGUCCCUCUAAAAACCUUCCCCUCCAGAUGAGAACAAAGGUAGAGAAUGUUCCAGAUUCCCUGGCCGCUGCAGUCUAGGAACAUGUGGAGCCAAGAGUUGGCCAACGAGCAGUCCUUAUCUUUUCCCCCUUCUUUCCAUGCAUUUUCUCUCUGUUGUCUAGCUUGUCCAUCUCUGUUUUUGGCCUCUUGGUAAGCUAGCUUUUUGUUUCAUACUAUUAUCUCUUUGUUAGUGCAUCUGCUUCAAUCUCCUUAUCUUGUUGUCUUGUCACUCUUCUCAUUAUUUCUCCCCUCUUCUGUCUAGCAUCCCUCUUAAACACACAAAAAGACACAAACAUAGAGGUAAAUAGAGACAAAUACACACACAAACACACAGAGACAGAGAGCCAUACACACACACACAUCCCUCAGACAGGAUUAUCCCACUCUCACAAGUUGAUCCUCUCCGGUAAGCACUGCCAGUCCCCUGUGAGCAUGUAACAGAAGCACUGCAGUCAGGGCAAGGCUGUGACAUAGAGAGUAGUGUGUUUGUGUGUGUGCGUCUCUGUUUGUGUAUUCCUCUGUGUGUUUGUGUGUGUCUCCCGCUGUGUGUUUGUGUGUGUGUGUGUGUCUCCCGCUGUGUUUGUGUGUGUCAGGUCACAGGCCAAGGUCUCCUACCUGAUCCACUCUGAGGGAAUCGGCUUGCGAGUACAUUAAGAGAUUGCGGUGGGGCGCCGAGCUGAGGCUCAAUGGCUCGACUUAAAGACAUACACACAUAAUCCUGGCUGCUCUGCUCCACCUAACAAGGAUACACGUGGCAGGUGUGUCUUUCAGGGACUGUGUGUGUGUGUGUCGUCUCUGAACUUUACCCUACCUAUGCCCUCUCAGGCGUGCCCCUGUCUUUGGGCACCCUUACCCGCCCUAAUGUCACUUCAUCUGCCAACUGGAUAAAGAUAGAGAGGGGUGCACAGAGACGAGAGAGAGAGAGGGGUGCACAGAGACGAGAGAGAGAGAGAGAGGGGUGCACAGAGACGAGAGAGAGAGGGGUGCACAGAGACGAGAGAGAGAGGGGGGUGCACAGAGACGAGAGAGAGAGGGGUGCACAGAGACGAGAGAGAGAGAGGGGUGCACAGAGACGAGAGAGAGAGGGGUGCACAGAGACGAGAGAGAGAGAGGGGUGCACAGAGACGAGAGAGAGAGGGGUGCACAGAGACGAGAGAGCGAGGGGUGCACAGAGACGAGAGAGAGAGAGAGAGGGGUGCACAGAGACGAGAGAGAGAGAGAGAGAGGGGUGCACAGAGACGAGAGAGAGAGAGAGGGGUGCACAGAGACGAGAGAGAGAGAGGGGUGCACAGAGACGAGAGAGAGAGGGGUGCACAGAGACGAGAGAGAGAGAGGGGUGCACAGAGACGAGAGAGAGAGAGAGGGGUGCACAGAGGUUAUCCCACACCAUAAUGCCAUCCUGCCCAGCCUGAUCACACAAAUCACAGUCAAAGCACACCAACACCUAACCAUGCACUUUAACUAUGGAGGCUUGAGAUCUGCAAGUGUAUGGUAUGUGUUUUGGUAUGCUAUAAAAUGCUAUGUAUAUUAAGGUAUGCUACGUAAUUCCACUGUAUGUUACGUGGACUGUGUUCAUUUUAAUGUGAUAAUAAAUUGAAUUGCACUGAGACAAAA